CUACCACUCAGGGGUUAACGCUUUUGAAUGCUCCCUGCAGGUUCCGAGUGCAGCUGUUACAGCCAUUUGGACAUUUUCUUUCUCCAAAGCCUCCGCUGCCUCUUGGAAACAACCACAGUGCCAUCUACUGGUAAAAGGCGACCACUAAUACAUCGCAGCAUUCAGUGCUGUUUUUAAUAAAUGGAAAGAUCACAGCACGAUGGCGGAGCGGCGGAGUUCGGCAUUUGUCUGAUGGAGGAAGUUGAAGACAGUGGGGGUGCAGGGGUGCUCAUCCCUUCAGGCAUCUGAUCAUCCAUUUUGAAAAGGUAACAGCAGCCUGAGGAGAUGGUACUGUCAGUAGGGGUGCUUGCCUUGCAAGCAGGAGGACCUGAGUUCCAUGCCCAGAGGCCAGAUCUUUCCUUGUCAAUCUGCUGACUUUGGAGGUUGCAUUACAACUACUUAGGAGCAUGGACACAGGAGGAUCACAAGUUCAAGGCCUGCCAAGACUAUGGAAACCGCUUGCCCAGGGAAUGGUGCCACCCACAGUGAACUGAGCUCUCCUACAUCAAUUAAUAAUCAAGGCAAUCCCUAAAAGGCAUGUCCAUGGGACAAUCUGAUCUGAGAAACCCCUCAACUGAGACUCCUUUCCCAGGUAACUCUAAGCUGUGUCAAAUUGACGGUUAAAGCUAACAGAACAAGCAGUAUGAAGGUGAAGAAACGCCUUUGCUCUCUCAAUAUUUUCUGCUGGCUUCAACUCAAAGAAUGCAGGCUGUAAUCACCUCUGUCAGCAGCUGGGCUGAGCCACCAAAGGCAGCUGGAGGGGAAUCCAGAAGCAAGGGAGACAAGGAAUGCCAAGCAAAGGACUCUGGAAUGGAUGCCUCUGAGCCCAGCCGGGCCCCAGCCCAGAGUUCUCCUUCCCAGAGGCAGAACCUGGGUCUCCUUAUUUGUGGGCAUCACCAACAAAGCAGGAUGCAUGCCUAGGAAUCAAGGGACACCAAUUUGAUGAGGAUGGUGGUUCACACCUAUCAUCCCAGCACUUGGGAGGGUGGGGGAGUGAAGCAGGAGCAUUGGGAGUUCUGGAGGAGUCUGGGUUACAUCUCCAGAUUUCGUAUCAAAAAACUAACAACCAGCAAGAAAAAAAUAUCAGUUUACCCUGUGUAUUAGCCAGGGUUAGAAUGAAUGUCUCUCCAUAUAUAGAAAGGGGAUUUAUUAGAAUGACUUAUAGGCUGUGGUCCUGCUAAUCCACCAACGGCUGAAUGUGAACAGAAGGUCCAACAAUCCAGUGUUUAUUCAGUCCAUGAGACAGGAUGUCUCAGCUGAUCUUCAGUAUGUGCUGGAAUCACAAUGCGAUAGACUCUAAUGCCGGUAAAGAAAUGGACUUGCUAAAAAGGUGAAAAAAGCAGGCAAAGGGCAAAAAAAACCUUCCUUCUACCAUGCCCUUAUACAGGUUUCCAGCAUGUGUGGCCCAGAUUAGUGGUGUAUCUUCCUGACUCAAGAUCCAGAUUAAAGGCA